rnacentral:lncRNA from 10 species
UAAGUUGCAUGUGAUUUUGGGAGGCGGAAUUUGCGUGACAUACCAGAGCUGCAGAUAACAGUUGUGGGAGGGAUGGAAGAAUAGAGAAGGAAGCUUUUUUUAACCUAUAGCCAUUGAAUGGGAGAGUAGAAAGGAAACAUUGAGUUUGGUUCUGGACAUUUUAGAAUGGGGCACCCAAAUGGAGAGAACCAGCAGACGGAAACAUAUUCACGGCACACUCGGGAAAAGAGCCAUUUAAGAACAGUUUCAAAAGGAGAGAUAGCCACAAGAGGUCAAGCUGAGAUGAGCAGGAAUACGAAGCCAUUGG